UUGCAAGCUGCUGCUGGUUUUAGAUUUUUCUUGUGGAGAAGCAGUUCUUGCUUGAUCCCUCGAAAUGAUUUAGUAGGGAUUUGGCUUCCAGGAUUGGUAGACUAGAACCAAAGAUUCCUCCAUAUGAUGGUACUACACAAUGUUGAGAUUCAGAGCAUAGUCCACAGGGCCUUCCAAGAAUGAAGUGUAAUGCCAAGAAUGUCAUGUAAUAAUCAUGUUUUAUGCCCUACCAAAAAGUUUCAUCAUGCCACUGUAGACUGUACUAAGUCGACAACUUUGUUCGAGCACUAUGAGGUGCUGAAGAUUAUGUUUUAAAUACAGUUCAUCUUUACAUAAUGGGGUUUCCAAAAUUAACUUACCCUUGUUUGAUGCUUUUCCCAACUAAAGAGUGAAGACAUAAGUUUUUUCCCUUACUGCACCUCUACCGCACGAUUAUCUCUUUGUUUACUACAUGCUUGAUAGCUUCACUCUUCCAACACAUUAUCUAGCCUUACAAUUGUUCUUCUAUAUUUACACUUUGUUUUGUGAGAAAAGAACUUCAGAGAUGAAGUGCCCGAAAGAAGUUGGUCAUGGAUACAAGAGUAUAUAACAGAGUGGUGAUAACAUUGUGGUUGGUGAUCGUGACCACCGGUCAGUUUUUAAUAUAUAAGAUAGAAACCUUUGUACCAUUUUAAAAA